UAACAGUGUGUUGAUUGGACUCAUCCGGC
rnacentral:piRNA from 1 species